rnacentral:rRNA from 1 species
GAAUCCCACAGGCCGUAAACCCAAGGUUUCCAGGGGAAGGUUCGUCCGCCCUGGGUUAGUCGGGACCUAAGCUGAGGCCGAAAGGCGUAGGUGAUGGACAACAGGUUGAUAUUCCUGUACUACCGAUAACCGUUUGAGAGAAGGGAUGACACAGUAGGAUAAGCUAAGCACACUGUUGGUUAUGUGUGCCCAAGCAUUGAGGCAGUCAAAGUAGGCAAAUCCGCUUUGAUAAUGCUGGGAUGUGAUGGGGAGCGAAAUUUAGUAGCGAAGUAGCUGAUUUCACACUGUCAAGAAAAGUCUCUAUCGAGGUUAAAGGUACCCGUACCGCAAACCGACACAGGUGGGUGAGGAGAGUAUCCUAAGGCCAGCGAGAGAACUGUUGUUAAGGAACUCGGCAAAAUGACCCCGUAACUUAGGGAUAAGGGGUGCCACCAUCAGGUGGCCGCAGAGAAUAGGCCCAAGCGACUGUUUACCAAAAACAUAGGUUUCUGCUAAGUCGCAAGACGAUGUAUAGGAGCUGACGCCUGCCCGGUGCUGGAAGGUUAAGGGGAUCUGUUAGAGCAAUCGAAGCAGUGAACUUAAGCCCCAGUAAACGGCGGCCGUAACUAUAACGGUCCUAAGGUAGCGAAAUUCCUUGUCGGGUAAGUUCCGACCCGCACGAAAGGCGUAACGAUUUGGGCACUGUCUCAACAACAGACUCGGUGAAAUUGUAAUUCCGGUGAAGAUGCCGGAUACCUGCGACAGGACGGAAAGACCCCAUGGAGCUUUACUGUAGCUUGACAUUGGGUCUUGGUACUACAUGUACAGGAUAGGUGGGAGGCUUUGAAACCAGGACGCCAGUUUUGGCGGAGCCAUCCUUGGGAUACCACCCUUGUAGUACUGGGACUCUAACCAUAGGCCAUGAAUCUGGUCUUGGGACACUGUCAGGUGGGCAGUUUGACUGGGGCGGUCGCCUCCCAAAAGGUAACGGAGGCGCUCAAAGGUUCUCUCAGUACGGUCGGAAAUCGUACGUAGAGUGUAAAGGCAAAAGAGAGCUUGAUUGCAAGACAUACAGGUCGAGCAAGGAUGAAAAUCGGACUUAGUGAUCCGGUGGUUCUGCGUGGAAGGGCCAUCGCUCAACGGAUAAAAGCUACCCUGGGGAUAACAGGCUUAUCUCCCCCAAGAGUCCACAUCGACGGGGAGGUUUGGCACCUCGAUGUCGGCUCAUCACAUCCUGGGGCUGUAGUAGGUCCCAAGGGUUGGGCUGUUCGCCCAUUAAAGUGGUACGCGAGCUGGGUUCAGAACGUCGUGAGACAGUUCGGUCCCUAUCCGUCGCAGGCGUAGGAAAUUUGAGAAGACCUGUCCUUAGUACGAGAGGACCGGGAUGGACGUACCUCUGGUGUACCAGUUGUCCUGCCAAGGGCAUGGCUGGGUAGCUAUGUACGGAAUGGAUAAGCGCUGAAAGCAUCUAAGCGCGAAGCCAACUUCAAGAUAAGAUUUCCCACCGCAAGGGUAAGACCCCAGAAAGACUAUCUGGUUGAUAGGUCGAAGGUGUAAGUGCAGCAAUGUAUUUAGCUUAUCGAUACUAAUAGGUCGAGGACUUGACC